rnacentral:tRNA from 2 species
GCGCGAGUGGCGGAACUGGUAGACGCGCAGGAUUUAGGUUCCUGUGUCUGAGGACGUGUGGGUUCGAGUCCCAUCUCGCGUA